rnacentral:lncRNA from 1 species
AUACUCCAGAUUUAUGUGGGAGCAGGAACUCCUUUGGACCUUAAGGAGGAAGCACGUGGCUGCUUUUACCUGCUGGCAGUUAUCUUGUGUUCUUGAAGGAAGCAGGCCUGAGGAGGACUCCUCAUACAGAGAGAAACACCGAGAGAUUCACUGAAAAACUGACAUGGGAUCCUGAGGGGCCACUCUUGAAGACUUAUCUCUGCACCUUUCUGGGCACUGUGCAUACAGCAAUGAUCAGCAUGAUUCCAGUGCUCAGAGAGCUCCAAGGAUUAGUUGAGACCAGACAAGAAUAUCAAGGAGGCAUGCAGAAGUUACAAUGGGAAAUCAAAAAGAAGACAAAGGAGGGACACCUAAUUCAGAACGAUGGGUUUGUUGGAUAGGAGAGAAAAGGAGACGAAUGGGCAGGUAUCAUCAAAGAUUCCUAAGAAGAAGUUCCUAACUUCUGUUUUUGUGCCAUUGACUCUUUGGCAGUGUGGAGAAACCCAGGGACCCAUUUUCAGAACAGUGUUUUUAAAUGCAUAAAAUAUUUUGGAUUAAAAGGAAACUCUGAGUAUUGAAAUACCUAACAAAAUAUUUUAAAAGCAAAUUUGUAAUACAGUAAUGUAUAUGCUUCUUUAUUAACUAAUUAAAGAACAAGAUAUAGCAAUGAGCAUACCUAUUAAGAUAAUUUUAGAGGUACUAAUGACUAUAAAUGAAAUUUUGAGUUGUCUGCAGCAACUGUUAUGUGAAAUGAAAAUACCUGUGGUUUUUUUGGUUGUGAAGUCACAGGUACUACUAAUGCUAAUACUAUUGUGGUUUGUGGCAUACGUUCAUAAUAGAAUGACAUGCUAAAUUUUAUUUGGAAAGUUAGUUCAACACAAUUUCCUGGCUCUGAAUUCUAUGCCAAGUUAAAAAAAAAUUUGUGCUAAGAAGGGAUAAAAUUUGAUGUAAUUCUUUUAUUUAUUUAUUUAUUUUUUUAGACAGAGUCUCGCUCUAUCGCCCAGGCUGGUGUGCAGUGGUGCAAUCUCACUGCAACCUUUGCCUCCUGGGUUCAAGCCAUUCUCCUGCCUCAGCCUCCCGAGCAGCUGGGACUACAAGCAGACGUCACCAU